rnacentral:rRNA from 1 species
AUGGAUAAAGGUAAAUCUGGGAAAGCAAAUUGGGAUCCUGUUGCCCAUAAAAUUUUCCUUGACAUUUGUGUUGAAGAAGUGAAUGCAAAUAACCGUUCUGAUGGACAUUUGAGCCCAAUUGGGUAUGAAAAUAUGAUAAGGAAGUUCAGUGAGCGGACAAACAGAAAUUAUGUUCGCAAGCAAUUCAAGAAUAGGUGGGAUUUACUUAAAAAAGAGUACAAUUGUUGGAAGACGUUGAACCAAAAGGCAUCUGGCAUUGGAAUAGAUCCUGUUACUAGGAGCAUUGCGGCUACCGAUGAAUGGUGGGCGAAUGAGAUACAUAGGAAUGAGAUUGCCGCCAAGUUCCGAUAUGCUCCAUUAGUUGAUGAGCAAAGAAUGAGUUUUAUAUUUGAUGACCAUAGUUCGACGAAUGCAUAUGCAAGGGUCGCAACUCCCUCGUCUCAAGUUGAUGCUUCUCAAAUUAACAUUGAAGAGGGUAAUGAGGACGGCUCGGGAUGUGAGUUAGAUGUUAACCAAGUUACACCCACCAAUGUUUCAUCUAAAGGUCGAAAGAAGAGAUCAUGUCCUUAUUCACCGAGUCCCAAGAUGGUCCAAAAGGCGGCAAAAGAUAGUGAUGAUAAAAUGGUAUUUAACCGUAUGGUUGACCUUUGGGAGAGGAGGGAGAUUAGCCGCAAUUCGGCGACGUCUCAAACAAAUGUGGAUCAUGUGAGAGAUGAGAUAAAAGAGAUGACGACCAUGGUGGUGAACGAUGGAGGUCGUCCUGGAAGUGAUGUGUAUUUCUAUGCUCUACAACUGUUUACGAAGAAGGAACAUCGUGAUGUGUUCAGUGCCCUCAAGGAUGAGACUGCUAGUGUGAGGCUUGAAUGGAUCAAGAGGACAUGGGAUCUCUUUAUGAAAAAAGAUUAG